UACGGAGGGUGCAAGCGUUAUCCGGAUUCACUGGGUUUAAAGGGUGCGUAAGUGGGCAGGUAAGUCAGUGGUGAAAUCUCCGGGCUUAACUCGGAAACUGCCAUUGAUACUAUCUGUCUUGAAUACCGUGGAGGUUAGCGGAAUAUGUCAUGUAGCGGUGAAAUGCUUAGAUAUGACAUAGAACACCAAUUGCGAAGGCAGCUGGCUACACGAAUAUUGACACUGAUGCACGAAAGCGUGGGGAUCAAACAGG
rnacentral:rRNA from 1 species